CGAGGGGUAGUUGUUUUCGGACAUGAGACCGGCGCACGGGUGCGUAACGCGUAUACAAUCUACCUUUUACAGAGGGAUAGCCCAGAGAAAUUUGGAUUAAUACCUCAUAGUAUUUUUGAAUCGCAUGAUUUGAUUAUUAAAGUUCCAACGGUAAAAGAUGAGUAUGCGUCCCAUUAGCUAGAUGGUAAGGUAACGGCUUACCAUGGCAACGAUGGGUAGGGGUCCUGAGAGGGAGAUCCCCCACACUGGUACUGAGACACGGACCAGACUCCUACGGGAGGCAGCAGUGAGGAAUAUUGGACAAUGGGCGCAAGCCUGAUCCAGCCAUGCCGCGUGCAGGAAGAAGGUCCUAUGGAUUGUAAACUGCUUUUAUACAGGAAGAAACACCUCUACGUGUAGAGACUUGACGGUACUGUAUGAAUAAGGACCGGCUAACUCCGUGCCAGCAGCCGUGGUAAUACGGAGGGUCCAAGCGUUAUCCGGAAUCAUUGGGUUUAAAGGGUCCGUAGGCGGCCAAAUAAGUCAGUGGUGAAAGCCCAUCGCUCAACGAUGGAACGGCCAUUGAUACUGUUUGGCUUGAAUUAUUAGGAAGUAACUAGAAUAUGUAGUGUAGCGGUGAAAU
rnacentral:rRNA from 1 species